GCUCCAAUAGCGUAUAUUAAAGUUGUUGCGGUUAAAAAGCUCGUAGUUGGAUUUCUGUUGAAGUCAGCCGGUGCACACUUCGUGUGUUAUUUGGCCUGGCUUUGGCAUCCUCUGGGGGAACGUUUCUGGCCUUAAUUGGACAGGGCGAGAUUCCAGACUUUUACUUUGAGGAAAUUAGAGUGUUCACAGCAGGCAAGUGC
rnacentral:rRNA from 1 species